ensembl:piRNA 21ur-1481 ncRNA
UGCCAUUAAUUCAUCCGAUAU